rnacentral:RNase_P_RNA from 1 species
GAAGCAAGCCAAGACAGCCGCUGGCGGCUGCAUCGGGUGCGCGGGUGACUUCGGUCACCCCAAGCCUGCUGCAGCUGCGGGAGGAAGGUCCGGACUCCAUAAAGCAGGGUGACGGUUAACGGCCGUCCGCCGUGAGGCGAGGAACAGGGCCACAGAGACGAGCGUAUUUAGUUACGGUGAAACGCGGUAACCUCCACCCGGAGCAAUUCCAAAUAGGCACGCGUUGAUGCUGCUCGCGGAGCGUGCGGGUAGGAAGCUUGAGCCGUGGAGUAAUUCACGGCCUAGAGG